UACGGGGGGGAGCAAGCGUUGUUCGGAUUUACUGGGCGUAAAGGGCGCGUAGGCGGCGUGACAAGUCACUUGUGAAAUCUCCGGGCUUAACUCGGAACGGUCAAGUGAUACUGUCGUGCUAGAGUACAGAAGGGGCAACUGGAAUUCUCGGUGUAGCGGUGAAAUGCGUAGAUAUCGAGAGGAACACCUGCGGCGAAGGCGGGUUGCUGGGCUGAUACUGACGCUGAGGCGCGAAAACUAGGGGAGCGAACGGG
rnacentral:rRNA from 1 species